rnacentral:tRNA from 1 species
UGAGGUGUAGUUCAGUGGUAGAGCACAUGUCUAGCAUGUGUGAACACCUAGGUUCAAUUCCCAGUACUACAC